GGAUGAACGCUGACAGAAUGCUUAACACAUGCAAGUCAACUUGAAUUUGGGUUUUUAACUUCGGUUUGGGUGGCGGACGGGUGAGUAACGCGUAAAGAACUUGCCUCACAGCUAGGGACAACAUUUGGAAACGAAUGCUAAUACCUAAUAUUAUGAUAAUAGGGCAUCCUAUAAUUAUGAAAGCUAUAAGCGCUGUGAGAGAGCUUUGCGUCCCAUUAGCUAGUUGGAGAGGUAACGGCUCACCAAGGCGAUGAUGGGUAGCCGGCCUGAGAGGGUGAUCGGCCACAAGGGGACUGAGACACGGCCCUUACUCCUACGGGAGGCAGCAGUGGGGAAUAUUGGACAAUGGACCGAGAGUCUGAUCCAGCAAUUCUGUGUGCACGAUGAAGUUUUUCGGAAUGUAAAGUGCUUUCAGUUGGGAAGAAACAAAUGACGGUACCAACAGAAGAAGUGACGGCUAAAUACGUG
rnacentral:rRNA from 1 species